CAAGUCGAACGGAAAGGCCCUGCUUUUGUGGGGUGCUCGAGUGGCGAACGGGUGAGUAACACGUGAGUAACCUGCCCUUGACUUUGGGAUAACUUCAGGAAACUGGGGCUAAUACCGGAUAGGAGCUCCUGCUGCAUGGUGGGGGUUGGAAAGUUUCGGCGGUUGGGGAUGGACUCGCGGCUUAUCAGCUUGUUGGUGGGGUAGUGGCUUACCAAGGCUUUGACGGGUAGCCGGCCUGAGAGGGUGACCGGCCACAUUGGGACUGAGAUACGGCCCAGACUCCUACGGGAGGCAGCAGUGGGGAAUAUUGCACAAUGGGCGGAAGCCUGAUGCAGCAACGCCGCGUGCGGGAUGACGGCCUUCGGGUUGUAAACCGCUUUCGCCUGUGACGAAGCGUGAGUGACGGUAAUGGGUAAAGAAGCACCGGCUAACUACGUGCCAGCAGCCGCGGUGAUACGUAGGGUGCGAGCGUUGUCCGGAUUUAUUGGGCGUAAAGGGCUCGUAGGUGGUUGAUCGCGUCGGAAGUGUAAUCUUGGGGCUUAACCCUGAGCGUGCUUUCGAUACGGGUUGACUUGAGGAAGGUAGGGGAGAAUGGAAUUUCCUGGUGGAGCGGUGGAAUGCGCAGAUAUCAGGAGGAACACCAGUGGCGAAGGCGGUUCUCUGGGCCUUUUCCUGACGCUGAGGAGCGAAAGCGUGGGGAGCGAACAGGCUUAGAUACCCUGGUAGUCCACGCUGUAAACGGUGGGUACUAGGUGUGGGGUCCAUUCCACGGGUUCCGUGCCGUAGCUAACGCUUUAAGUACCCCGCCUGGGGAGUACGGCCGCAAGGCUAAAACUCAAAGGAAUUGACGGGGCCCCGCACAAGCGGCGGAGCAUGCGGAUUAAUUCGAUGCAACGCGUAGAACCUUACCUGGGUUUGACAUGGAUCGGGAGUGCUCAGAGAUGGGUGUGCCUCUUUUGGGGUCGGUUCACAGGUGGUGCAUGGCUGUCGUCAGCUCGUGUCGUGAGAUGUUGGGUUAAGUCCCGCAACGAGCGCAACCCUUGUUCACUGUUGCCAGCACGUUAUGGUGGGGACUCAGUGGAGACCGCCGGGGUCAACUCGGAGGAAGGUGGGGAUGACGUCAAGUCAUCAUGCCCCUUAUGUCCAGGGCUUCACGCAUGCUACAAUGGCUGGUACAGAGAGUGGCGAGCCUGUGAGGGUGAGCGAAUCUCGGAAAGCCGGUCUCAGUUCGGAUUGGGGUCUGCAACUCGACCUCAUGAAGUCGGAGUCGCUAGUAAUCGCAGAUCAGCAACGCUGCGGUGAAUACGUUCCCGGGGCUUGUACACACCGCCCGUCAAGUCAUGAAAGUUGGUAACACCCGAAGCCGGUGGCCUAACCGUUGUGGGGGAGCCGUCGAA
rnacentral:rRNA from 1 species